rnacentral:rRNA from 1 species
CAAGCGUUAUCCGGAAUUAUUGGGCGUAAAGAGCUCGUAGGCGGUUUGUCGCGUCUGCCGUGAAAGUCCGGGGCUCAACUCCGGAUCUGCGGUGGGUACGGGCAGACUAGAGUGAUGUAGGGGAGACUGGAAUUCCUGGUGUAGCGGUGAAAUGCGCAGAUAUCAGGAGGAACACCGAUGGCGAAGGCAGGUCUCUGGGCAUUAACUGACGCUGAGGAGCGAAAGCGUGGGGAGCGAGCAGG